AUUCAACGCUGGCGGCAUGCUUUACACAUGCAAGUCGGACGGCAGCACAGAGAAGCUUGCUUCUUGGGUGGCGAGUGGCGAACGGGUGAGUAACAUAUCGGAACGUACCGAGCAGUGGGGGAUAACUAAUCGAAAGAUUAGCUAAUACCGCAUAUCUUCUGAGGAAGAAAGCAGGGGACCAUUUGGCCUUGCGCUGUUUGAGCGGCCGAUAUCUGAUUAGCUAGUUGGUGGGGUAAAGGCCUACCAAGGCGACGAUCAGUAGCGGGUCUGAGAGGAUGAUCCGCCACACUGGGACUGAGACACGGCCCAGACUCCUACGGGAGGCAGCAGUGGGGAAUUUUGGACAAUGGGCGCAAGCCUGAUCCAGCCAUGCCGCGUGUCUGAAGAAGGCCUUCGGGUUGUAAAGGACUUUUGUCAGGGAAGAAAAGGGCGGGGUUAAUACCCCUGUCUGAUGACGGUACCUGAAGAAUAAGCACCGGCUAACUACGUG
rnacentral:rRNA from 1 species